GACGAACGCUGGCGGCGUGCUUAACACAUGCAAGUCGAACGGUAAGGCCUCUUCGGGGGUACACGAGUGGCGAACGGGUGAGUAACACGUGAGUAACCUGCCCUUGACUUUGGGAUAACAUCUGGAAACAGGUGCUAAUACCGGAUAUGAGCUUGUCCUGCAUGGGAUGGGUUGGAAAGCUCCGGCGGUCAUGGAUGGACUCGCGGCCUAUCAGCUUGUUGGUGAGGUAAUGGCUCACCAAGGGUUCGACGGGUAGCCGGCCUGAGAGGGCGACCGGCAACAUUGGGACUGGGAUACGGCCCAAACUCCUACGGGAGGCAGCAGUGGGGAAUAUUGCACAAUGGGCGGAAGCCUGAUGCAGCAACGCCGCGUGCGGGAUGACGGCCUUCGGGUUGUAAACCGCUUUCAGCAGGGACGAAGCGCGGGUGACGGUACCUGCAGAAGAAGCACCGGCUAACUACGUGCCAGCCGCCGCCGUAACAC
rnacentral:rRNA from 1 species